rnacentral:lncRNA from 1 species
AAAAAAAUUCUCUGAAAGAGAGUUGGGGAGGGGUAUUCGGAGGGUCACCGGACCUCCAUCUAGGGGUCUAUACGCGCUCACGCGCCCUCGUCUUCUCCUCCGCAUGCGGUGGUCGGAGGUUUAAAAACCUCGCCUUUCAAUGCCGAUUAAAGGUAUUGCUUUCUCUUUUCAUUAUUUGCAGUAAAUAUGUACAUAUAUCUAAAAAAUUUCAUCUUUGUGUAUUCAAUCGAUUGAAAUGCUUGCUCUGUAUAUGUGUACGAGAACAAAUUCUUUUACUGAAUCUCUAAAUUUUUAUUGAUUCUCUCUGUGUGUAUUCUUUUUUCGAACGUAAGUCCUUACAUCAUUUUAUUUGGGCUUUUAUAGCCACCGUUUUGUUACAUAAACUGGGAAAGAAAUCUUCGAUUUCUUUCCAUUUCUUGUCCACUGUAUCCACCGUAUCUUUGAUUGUGAUAUGCUGAAAACCUUUUAUUUUAGUUUCCCUUUUUUGUUUUUCCGUAUCUACUGUGUUUCCUUUUCUUUUGCAGGUACUUGCGAGAAAUCUGGUGGUGACGAGGGCUGGUGUAGUUUCGCACGCUGAUUUCGAAGGCAAAGUCACAGCGCUGAUGGCCUUGAUUGGGGAGCUGGACAGACGCUCCCCGAACCUUCUAGAACCUGUUGCGGCGCGAGGGGAAAGAACCCUAGCUGAUAAUUUUAGGUUUUUGGGCCUCUGUUGUUUGGGUCUAGUUUAGGUCUAGGCUUCGAGUGUAUUUGGGUUAAGGUUGUAAGUGGGUCCACUGGGUAGCUUUAGGCCUACUAGGUGGUAUCCGGGUAAAUGGGUCUGAGAUGUUUGAUUUUGGGCCCACUGUUUAGGCUUUGUAACAUGAACUGUUUAUUUUUGAAUGGAC